GAUGAACGCUGGCGGCGUGCCUAAUACAUGCAGGUCGAGCGAACAGACGAGGAGCUUGCUCCUCUGACGUUAGCGGCGGACGGGUGAGUAACACGUGGAUAACCUACCUAUAAGACUGGGAUAACUUCGGGAAACCGGAGCUAAUACCGGAUAAUAUAUUGAACCGCAUGGUUCAAUAGUGAAAGAUGGUUUUGCUGUCACUUAUAGAUGGAUCCGCGCCGCAUUAGCUAGUUGGUAAGGUAACGGCUUACCAAGGCGACGAUGCGUAGCCGACCUGAGAGGGUGAUCGGCCACACUGGAACUGAGACACGGUCCAGACUCCUACGGGAGGCAGCAGUAGGGAAUCUUCCGCAAUGGGCGAAAGCCUGACGGAGCAACGCCGCGUGAGUGAUGAAGGUCUUCGGAUCGUAAAACUCUGUUAUUAGGGAAGAACAAAUGUGUAAGUAACUAUGCACGUCUUGACGGUACCUAAUCAGAAAGCCACGGCUAACUACGUG
rnacentral:rRNA from 1 species